rnacentral:rRNA from 1 species
CAAGACUUGAGAGUUAUUAGGAGGGGGUAAGCGGAAUGCAGGUGUAGAGUGAAAUCAUAGAUAUCUGAGAACAACGGAGGCGAAGGCGCUUACUGGACUAUUACUGACGCUGAGGUGCGAAAGUGUGGGAGCGAACGGGAUUAGAUACCCCGGUAGUCCACACGUAAACGAUGGACACUAGGUGUCGGGAGACAUUACCCUCUCGGUGCCGCAGUUAACGCGUUAAGUGCCCCGCCUGGGGAGUACGAUCGCAAGGUUAAAACUCAAAGAAAUUGACGGGGGCCCGCACAAGCGGUGGAGGAUGUGGUUUAAUUCGAUGCAACGCGAAAAACCUUACCUGGGCUUGACAUCCCGGGCUACCCUAGGAAACUAGGGGUUCUCUUCGGAGACCCGGUGACAGGUGUUGCAUGGUUGUCGUCAGCUCGUGUCGUGAGAUGUUGGGUUAAGUCCCGCAACGAGCGCAACCCUUGCCAUUAGUUGCCAGCAUUUAGUUGGGCACUCUAAUGGGACCGCUCGCCGAUAAGGCAGAGGAAGGAGGGGAUGACGUCAAAUCAGCAUGGCCCUUACGUCCUGGGCUACACACGUGCUACAAUGGUAAGUACAGAGAGCAGCCACUGGGUGACCAGGAGCGAAUCUAUAAAACUUAUCACAGUUCGGAUCGGAGUCUGCAACUCGACUCCGUGAAGCUGGAAUCGCUAGUAAUCGGAUAUCAGCCAUGAUCCGGUGAAUACGUUCCCGGGCCUUGUACACACCGCCCGUCAAGCCAUGGAAGCUGGGGGUACCUGAAGUCCGUCACCGCAAGGAGCGGCCUAGGGUAAAACUAGUGACUAGGGCUAAGUCGUAACAAGGUAACCGUAA